rnacentral:rRNA from 1 species
UACGUAGGCAGCAAGCGUUGUUCGGAGUUACUGGGCGUAAAGAGUGUGUAGGCGGUUGGGUAAGUUCGGUGUGAAAUCUCCCGGCUUAACUGGGAGGGUGCGCCGAAGACUGCCUGGCUUGAGUGCGGGAGAGGAAAGCGGAAUUCCUGGUGUAGCGGUGAAAUGCGUAGAUAUCAGGAGGAACACCUGCGGUGUAGACGGCUUUCUGGACCGUGACUGACGCUGAGACAAGAAAGUGUGGGUAGCAAACAGG